rnacentral:rRNA from 1 species
UACGGGGGGGGCAAGCGUUGUUCGGAAUUACUGGGCGUAAAGGGCUCGUAGGUGGCCAACUAAGUCAUACGUGAAAUCCCUCGGCUUAACCGGGGAACUGCGUCUGAUACUGGAUGGCUUGAGGUUGGGAGAGGGAUGCGGAAUUCCUGGUGUAGCGGUGAAAUGCGUAGAUAUCAGGAGGAACACCUGUGGCGAAAGCGGCUCACUGGACCGACAACUGACGCUGAGGCGCGAAAGCUAGGGGAGCAAACAGG